rnacentral:rRNA from 1 species
CCUACGGGGGGCAGCAGUGAGGAAUAUUGGUCAAUGGACGAGAGUCUGAACCAGCCAAGUAGCGUGAAGGAUGACUGCCCUAUGGGUUGUAAACUUCUUUUAUAAAGGAAUAAAACGAGGCACGUGUGCCUUUUUGCAUGUACUUUAUGAAUAAGGAUCGGCUAACUCCGUGCCAGCAGCCGCGGUAAUACGGAGGAUCCGAGCGUUAUCCGGAUUUAUUGGGUUUAAGGGGAGCGUAGAUGGGUUGUUAAGUCAGUUGUGAAAGGUUGCGGCUCAACCAUAAAAUUGCAAUUGAUACUGGCAGUCUUGAGUACAGUUGAGGUAGGCGGAAUUCGUGGUGCAGCGGUGAAAUGCUUAGAUAUCACGAAGAACCCCGAUUGCGAAGGCAGCUUACUAAACUGUGACUGACAUUGAUGCUCGAAAGUGUGGGUAUCAAACAGGAUUAGAUACCCGGGUAGUC